rnacentral:misc_RNA from 1 species
CCGAGUUUACAACUCCCAAACCCCUGUGAACAUACCCUUAUGUUGCCUCGGCGGAUCAGCCCGCGCCCCGUAAAACGGGACGGCCCGCCGCAGGAGACCCUAAACUCUGUUUUUAGUGGAACUUUUGAGUAUAAAAAACAAAUAAAUCA